rnacentral:rRNA from 1 species
UACGUAGGGUGCGAGCGUUGUCCGGAAUUAUUGGGCGUAAAGAGCUCGUAGGCGGCUUGUCGCGUCGGAUGUGAAAGCCCGGGGCUUAACUCCGGGUCUGCAUUCGAUACGGGCAGACUAGAGUUCGGUAGGGGAGAUCGGAAUUCCUGGUGUAGCGGUGAAAUGCGCAGAUAUCAGGAGGAACACCGGUGGCGAAGGCGGUUCUCUGGGCAUGUCCUGACGCUGAGGAGCGAAAGUGUGGGGAGCGAACAGG